GAUGAAGAACGCAGCGAAAUGCGAUAAGUAGUGUGAAUUGCAGAAUUCAGUGAAUCAUCGAAUCUUUGAACGCACAUUGCGCCCUUUGGUAUUCCUUAGGGCAUGCCUGUUCGAGCGUCAUUUAAACCUUCAAGCUAAGCUUGGUGUUGGGUGACUGUCCGCUUCACGGCGGACUCGCCUCAAAAUUAUUGGCGGCCGGUACAUUGGCUUCGAGCGCAGCAGAAACGCGAACUCGGGCCCGUCGUAUUGGCUCCCAGAAGCUAUCUUCACAAUUUUGACCUCGGAUCAGGUAGGGAUACCCGCUGAACUUAAGCAUAUCAAUAAGCGGAGAA
rnacentral:misc_RNA from 1 species